rnacentral:rRNA from 1 species
AAAUUUCGCUGAGGCAAAGUGGGCGUGGAUUUCGAUGUUCGCUGUUCGCGGGAAUGGUUUAAAGGAAAACUCAAAUUGGGCUAAUCUAGAAACUCGUGGAGAGAAAUAAUAGGAUUAAAAAAUUUUUUGAAAAAUUUAAAGUUUAUUAUUAUAAUAAGCUUUGUUUUUUGAAGAAUAAAGUUUAUUGUUAUUUAUUUUUUAAAACUUUUAAAGUUUAUAAAAUUAAACUUAUAACAAUAAACUUCUAACAAUCCUUUAUUGACUCUCGCUGCAAAAUUAAUUUGGCUUCUGGCAAUUGUCAGGAAUUUAGCCGAUUAUAACUUUUGUGAAUUUAUAAUUAUAAUUAAUUAUUGACAUUCUUUUGCAAAGGAUAUUUAGUAUGUUAUCAGCUGUCAUUAAUUUUUAAUUUUCGACUUUUAUUUCGGGAUUUUGAAUUCUAAAAUUAUCAAUGUAAUCAUUAUUAAUGACAGCUUAAUUACCAGCAGUCUCGGUAAUUCAAGCUUUGCUAAAUACCUAAAUAAAAGAUAUCUGGUUGAUCCUGCCUGAACUGAUGUGUUUAUUUCAAAGAUUAAGCCAUGCAUGUAUAAGUUUAAUCGUUUAUCGAGAAACCGCGAACGGCUCAUUACAAUGGCCUACUAAAUACUUGUUGCUAUGAUGGUAAUCCUGCUUAGUACGAGAGGAACCGCAGGUUCAGACAUUUGGUUCAUGUGCUUGGUCGAUAGGCCAAUGGCGCGAAGCUACCAUCUGAGGGAUUAUGACUGAACGCCUCUAAGUCAGAAUCCCGCCCAGUCAUGAUAGCAAUAUAUAUCGCUCUCCGGUGUCGGAAGGCAAAAUGUAUGCCAUUUUUUGUGGUAGUACAAGCCCCAGUAUCUGGCAUUUUCUUUCUACUAUAAUUGGUAGUUGGUUGCUAAAAGCUUAGCACUCCUCGUGCAUGUGUAACGUCGGGGCGCAAAAUCACUUGUAUACGACUUGAAUACUGGUCAGGGGGUUGUAAUCAGUAGAGCAGCUCUUCGCUGCGAUCUGUUGAGACUUAGCCCUUGAUCGGAUGAUUUGUCUUUUUUAUAUACUAUAGACCUGUUUAUCCAAGUGUCGUAGGCCAAGUGUCGUAGGGUUCAGGCAAUAGGGUUCCCCCAGGCAAUCAAAUUUCACCAGGCAUUUUUGGUUUAGAGUCUGUGACGAUCCGAUUAAAAAUUGCCUCAGGCAAAGUAGACCAAAGUGCAAUUGACCAAGUGUCGUAGGGUUCAGGCAAUAGGGUUCCCCCAGGCAAUCAAAUUUCACCAGGCAUUUUUGGUUUAGAGUUUUGGGUGUGCACCCAGCUGGAGCUUCCACUAGUGCAGAUCUUGGUGGUAGUAGCAAAUAUUCAAGUGAGAUCCUUGAAGACUGAAGUGGAGAAGGGUUCCACGUGAACAGCAGUUGAAUGUGGGUCAGUCGAUCCUAAGGCACCGGCUAAAGCCGUCUAGACACUGCGGGGAGAUGAGAUACUUAACGGUAACUUGUCUACCUGGUUGCCGAAAGGGAAGUGGGUUAAAUAUUCCCACACCAGGCAUGGGAGAUUGUGAUCCGCGAGGAUUACUUUGCGCGGUGACGCAAACGAACUCGCAGACCUCGUGUGGAGUCCGGGCCAGAGUUCUCUUUUCUGGUUUAGAGAUCAUGUCCCUGGAAGUGGCUCAGCCUGAGAUAGGGAUACUGGUCUUGUAAAGCGCAGCGGUUCCUGUUGUGUCCCGUGUGCUCCACAUGAGCCGUGAAAAUGCGAGGGAGGCAAUUUAAAAUCUCCUGCCUGAUCGUACCCAUAUCCGCAGCAGGUCUCCAAGGUGAACAGCCUCUAGUCGAUAGAAUAAUGUAGGUAAGGGAAGUCGGCAAAUUAGAUUCGUAACUUCGGGAAAAGAAUUGGCUCUAAAGGUUGGGUCAGUCGGGCUGUUGUGUGAAACUGGUGGACUUUGCUCGUGGCUGCUUGAGCUUCCUUACGGGGCGGCGCUUGUGGACUAGUAGUGAGGACUGCUUGUGGAGUGCUUCAGCUGCGUGCUAUUUCGCAAGAUAUAGUACUUCCGAUUGGCGCUGAACAACCAGUUUAGAACUGGCACGAACUCCGGGAAUUCCGACUGUCUAAUUAAAACAGAGGAGACGGAUGGUCCCUUGCAGGACGUUGACCGUGGUCUGAUUUCUGCCAGUGCUCUGAAUGUUAAGCCAAGGAAACUUGAUUAAGCGCGGGGUAAACGGCGGGAGUAACUAUGACUCUCUUAAGGUAGCCAAAUGCCUCGUCGGCUAACUACCGACGCGCACGAAUGGAUCAACGAGAUUCCCACUGUCCCUAUCUACUAUCUAGCGAAACCACAGCCAAGGGAAACGGGCUUGGCAAAUUUAGCGGGGAAAGAAGACCCUGUUGAGCUUGACUCUAGUCUGACUUUGUGAAGAAUCAUGAGAGGUGUAGCAUAAGUGGGAGUCGCAAGACAACAGUGAAAUACCACUACUUUCAUCGAUUCCUUACUUAAUCGGUAAAACGGGAGUUGUGUCUAAGGACCUUCAUUUUUGUUUUAAGACUAGCCACUCGGUGGUGGUUGACUCGCGCCGAUGAACAUUGUCAGGCGGGGAGUUUGACUGGGGCGGUACAUCUUGUCAAAUUGUAACGCAGGUGUCCUAAGGCGAGCUCAGAGAGGACGGAAAACCUCUCGUUGAGCAAAAAGGCAAAUGCUUACUUGAUCUUGAUUUUCAGUACGAAUUACAGACCGCGAAAGCGUGGCUUAUCGAUCCUUUUUGAGUUUGUAAAGUUUACAGCAAGAGGUGUCAGAAAAGUUACACAGGGAUAACUGGCUUGUGGCGGCCAAGCGUCCAUAGCGACCGUCGCUUUUUGAUCCUUCGAUGUCGGCUCUUCCUAUCAUUGCGAAGCAGAAUUCGCCAAGCGUUGGAUUGUUUCACCCACCAAUAGGGAACGUGAGCUGGGUUUAGACCGUCGUGAAGACAGGUUAGUUUUUACCCUACUAAAUACUUGUUGCUAUGAUGGUAAUCCUGCUUAGUACGAGAGGAACCGCAGGUUCAGACAUUUGGUUCAUGUGCUUGGUCGAUAGGCCAAUGGCGCGAAGCUACCAUCUGAGGGAUUAUGACUGAACGCCUCUAAGUCAGAAUCCCGCCCAGUCAUGAUAGCAAUAUAUAUCGCUCUCCGGUGUCGGAAGGCAAAAAUGUAUGCCAUUUUUUGUGGUAGUACAAGCCCCAGUAUCUGGCAUUUUCUUUCUACUAUAAUUGGUAGUUGGUUGCUAAAAGCUUAGCACUCCUCGUGCAUGUGUAACGUCGGGGCGCAAAAUCACUUGUAUACGACUUGAAUACUGGUCAGGGGGUUGUAAUCAGUAGAGCAGCUCUUCGCUGCGAUCUGUUGAGACUUAGCCCUUGAUCGGAUGAUUU